rnacentral:rRNA from 1 species
UACAGAGGGUGCGAGCGUUUAAUCGGAAUUACUGGGCGUAAAGCGCGCGUAGGCGGCUUUGCAAGUCGAGUGUGAAAUCCCCGGGCUCAACCCGGGAACUGCGUCCGAUACUGGUUGGCUUGAAUCCGGGAGAGGGAUGCGGAAUUCCAGGUGUAGCGGUGAAAUGCGUAGAUAUCUGGAGGAACACCGGUGGCGAAGGCGGCAUCCUGGACCGGCAUUGACGCUGAGGCGCGAAAGCCAGGGGAGCAAAGCGGG